AUUGAACGCUGGCGGCAGGCCUAACACAUGCAAGUCGAGCGAGCGGCGGACGGGUGAGUAAUGUAUGGGGACUGCCCGAUAGAGGGGGAUAACUACUGGAAACGGUGGCUAAUACCGCAUACUAUCGGAUAACCCAUAUGGGAUUAGCUAGUAGGUGGGGUAAAGGCUCACCUAGGCGACGAUCUCUAGCUGGUCUGAGAGGAUGAUCAGCCACACUGGGACUGAGACACGGCCCAGACUCCUACGGAGGCAGCAGUGGGGAAUAUUGCACAAUGGGCGAAAGCCUGACGCAGCCAUGCCGCGUGUAUGAAGAAGGCCUUAGGGUUGUAAAAUUCUUUUGUCGGGGAGGCGGUAUCUGCAGAAGAAGCACCGGCUAACUCCGUGCCAGCAGCCGCGGUAAUUC
rnacentral:rRNA from 1 species